rnacentral:rRNA from 1 species
GAUGAACGCUGGCGGCGUGCCUAAUACAUGCCAGUCGAGCGAACAGACGAGGAGCUUGCUCCUCUGACGUUAGCGGCGGACGGGUGAGUAACACGUGGAUAACCUACCUAUAAGACUGAGAUAACUUCGGGAAACCGGAGCUAAUACCGGAUAAUAUAUUGAACCGCAUGGUUCAAUAGUGAAAGACGGUUUUGCUGUCACUUAUAGAUGGAUCCGCGCCGCAUUAGCUAGUUGGUAAGGUAACGGCUUACCAAGGCAACGAUGCGUAGCCGACCUGAGAGGGUGAUCGGCCACACUGGAACUGAGACACGGUCCAGACUCCUACGGGAGGCAGCAGUAGGGAAUCUUCCGCAAUGGGCGAAAGCCUGACGGAGCAACGCCGCGUGAGUGAUGAAGGUCUUCGGAUCGUAAAACUCUGUUAUUAGGGAAGAACAAAUGUGUAAGUAACUAUGCACGUCUUGACGGUACCUAAUCAGAAAGCCACGGCUAACUACGUG